UACGUAGGGUGCGAGCGUUAAUCGGAAUUACUGGGCGUAAAGCGUGCGCAGGCGGUCUGUUAAGACCGAUGUGAAAUCCCCGGGCUCAACCUGGGAACUGCAUCUGUGACUGCAUCGCUGGAGUGCGGCAGAGGGGGAUGGAAUUCCGCGUGUAGCAGUGAAAUGCGUAGAUAUGCGGAGGAACACCGAUGGCGAAGGCAAUCCCCUGGGCCUGCACUGACGCUCAUGCACGAAAGCGUGGGGAGCAAACAGG
rnacentral:rRNA from 1 species